ACGGCAUUAAUGCAAAUUGCUCCUUGCCAACAAGUAUUAUCUACACAGGCUCGCUGUGCGUGUGCAAGUCCUUAAAUGAUAAUUAAUAGCUUUUUAAUUUUCAUGCCUCAAUAGGGAAGAAAGGAAAGAUAUUACCGUCACGUAAAGAAGAGCAUUACAAAUCCUCAGAAAUAUUUGAGUUUUGUUGUAGACGGGACGUCGGGAAUCGGGAUGGACCGUAGAAAAACCCACAUUCCGGGCCAUUAUAUUCAAAAGCGAAAGGUACCAUAGUUCUAGUCUCCAGCUAGG